UACGUAGGGUGCAAGCGUUGUCCGGAAUUAUUGGGCGUAAAGAGCUCGUAGGCGGUCUGUUGCGUCGGCUGUGAAAACCCGGGGCUCAACCCCGGGCCUGCAGCCGAUACGGGCAGACUAGAGUUCGGCAGGGGAGACUGGAAUUCCUGGUGUAGGCGGUGAAAUGCGCAGAUAUCAGGAGGAACACCGGUGGCGAAGGCGGGUCUCUGGGCCGAUACUGACGCUGAGGAGCGAAAGCGUGGGGAGCGAACAGG
rnacentral:rRNA from 1 species